GAUGAACGCUGGCGGCAUGCCUAAUACAUGCAAGUCGAGCGAAUGGAUUAAGAGCUUGCUCUUAUGAAGUUAGCGGCGGACGGGUGAGUAACACGUGGGUAACCUGCCCAUAAGGCUGGGAUAACUCCGGGAAACCGGGGCUAAUACCGGAUAACAUUUUGAACCGCAUGGUUCGAAAUUGAAAGGCGGCUUCGGCUGUCACUUAUGGAUGGACCCGCGUCGCAUUAGCUAGUUGGUGAGGUAACGGCUCACCAAGGCAACGAUGCGUAGCCGACCUGGGAGGGUGAUCGGCCACACUGGGACCGAGACACGGCCCAGACUCCUACGGGAGGCAGCAGUAGGGAAUCUUCCGCAAUGGACGAAAGUCUGACGGAGCAACGCCGCGUGAGUGAUGAAGGCUCUCGGGUCGUAAAACUCUGUUGUUAGGGAAGAACAAGUGCUAGUUGAAUAAGCUGGCACCUUGACGGUACCUAACCAGAAAGCCACGGCUAACUACGUGCCAGCCGCCGCGGUAA
rnacentral:rRNA from 1 species